GAAAAGAAACCAACAGGGAUUGCCUUAGUAACGGCGAGUGAAGCGGCAAAAGCUCAAAUUUGAAAUCUGGCACCUUCGGUGUCCGAGUUGUAAUUUGAAGAAGGUAACUUUGGAGUUGGCUCUUGUCUAUGUUCCUUGGAACAGGACGUCACAGAGGGUGAGAAUCCCGUGCGAUGAGAWGCCCAAUUCUAUGUAAAGUGCUUUCGAAGAGUCGAGUUGUUUGGGAAUGCAGCUCUAAGUGGGUGGUAAAUUCCAUCUAAAGCUAAAUAUUGGCGAGAGACCGAUAGCGAACAAGUACAGUGAUGGAAAGAUGAAAAGAACUUUGAAAAGAGAGUGAAAAAGUACGUGAAAUUGUUGAAAGGGAAGGGCUUGAGAUCAGACUUGGUAUUUUGCGAUCCUUUCCUUCUUGGUUGGGUUCCUCGCAGCUUACUGGGCCAGCAUCGGUUUGGAUGGUAGGAUAAUGACUAAGGAAUGUGGCUCUACUUCGGUGGAGUGUUAUAGCCUUGGUUGAUACUGCCUGUCUAGACCGAGGACUGCGUCUUUUGACUAGGAUGUUGGCAUAAUGAUCUUAAGCCA
rnacentral:rRNA from 1 species